rnacentral:rRNA from 1 species
AUUGAACGCUGGCGGCAGGCCUAACACAUGCAAGUCGAGCGAGCGGCGGACGGGUGAGUAAUGUCUGGGAAACUGCCUGAUGGAGGGGGAUAACUACUGGAAACGGUAGCUAAUACCGCAUACCAUCAGAUGUGCCCAGAUGGGCUUAGCUAGUAGGUGGGGUAACGGCUCACCAAGGCGACGAUCCCUAUCUGGUCUGAGAGGAUGACCAGCCACACUGGAACUGAGACACGGUCCAGAAUCCUACGGAAGGCAGCAGUGGGGAAUAUUGCACAAUGGGCGGAAGCCUGAUGCAGCCAUGCCGCGGGUGUGAAGAAGACCUUCGGGUUGUAAAGCACUUUCAGCGGGGAGGCGUUACCCGCAGAAGAAGCACCGGCUAACUCCGUGCCAGCAGCCGCGGUAAUUC